rnacentral:rRNA from 1 species
GACGAACGCUGGCGGCGUGCUUAACACAUGCAAGUCGAACGGAAAGGCCCUGCUUUUGUGGGGUGCUCGAGUGGCGAACGGGUGAGUAACACGUGAGUAACCUGCCCUUGACUUUGGGAUAACUUCAGGAAACUGGGGCUAAUACCGGAUAGGAACUCCUGCUGCAUGGGGGGGGUUGGAAAGUUUCGGCGGUUGGGGAUGGACUCGCGGCUUAUCAGCUUGUUGGUGGGGUAGUGGCUUACCAAGGCUUUGACGGGUAGCCGGCCUGAGAGGGUGACCGGCCACAUUGGGACUGAGAUACGGCCCAGACUCCUACGGGAGGCAGCAGUGGGGAAUAUUGCACAAUGGGCGGAAGCCUGAUGCAGCAACGCCGCGUGCGGGAUGACGGCCUUCGGGUUGUAAACCGCUUUCGCCUGUGACGAAGCGUGAGUGACGGUAAUGGGUAAAGAAGCACCGGCUAACUACGUG